rnacentral:rRNA from 1 species
UACGUAGGGUGCAAGCGUUAAUCGGAAUUACUGGGCGUAAAGCGUGCGUAGGCGGCUUUGCAAGACAGAUGUGAAAUCCCCGGGCUUAACCUGGGAACUGCAUUUGUGACUGCAAGGCUAGAGUGCGGCAGAGGGGGAUGGAAUUCCGCGUGUAGCAGUGAAAUGCGUAGAUAUGCGGAGGAACACCGAUGGCGAAGGCAAUCCCCUGGGCCUGCACUGACGCUCAUGCACGAAAGCGUGGGGAGCAAACAGG